AUUGAACGCUGGCGGCAGGCCUAACACAUGCAAGUCGAGCGGAUGAAGGGAGCUUGCUCCUGGAUUCAGCGGCGGACGGGUGAGUAAUGCCUAGGAAUCUGCCUGGCAGUGGGGGAUAACGUCCGGAAACGGGCGCUAAUACCGCAUACGUCCUGAGGGAGAAAGUGGGGGAUCUUCGGACCUCACGCUAUCAGAUGAGCCUAGGUCGGAUUAGCUAGUUGGUGGGGUAAAGGCCUACCAAGGCGACGAUCCGUAACUGGUCUGAGAGGAUGAUCAGUCACACUAGAACUGAGACACGGUCCAGGCUCCUACGGGAGGCAGCGGUGGGGAAUAUUGGACAAAGGGCGAAAGCCUGAUCCAGCCAUGCCGCGUGUGUGAAGAAGGUCUUCGGAUUGUAAAGCACUUUAAGUUGGGAGGAAGGGCAGUAAGUUAAUACCUUGCUGUUUUGACGUUACCAACAGAAUAAGCACCGGCUAACUUCGUG
rnacentral:rRNA from 1 species